rnacentral:lncRNA from 1 species
CGUCGAGCUGAGAAGGAGAAUCAUUAAUCUCAGGAGGAUAUAGCGGCCCUACAGUGGGCCAUUAUUGAGUUUACGUCCCAACUUGCAGUAUUUGGGGUGAAGCUCGAUGAGUUAUAUCACUGCAUACCUCCCCCACCGACUCUUGAUGUUCCUGCUGAUGUCUAUGAUGAUGACUCCACCGAUGAUGAUAAUAGAUUCCUCCUA